CGCGGGAUGGAGCAGCAUGGUAGCUCGUCGGGCUCAUAACCCGGAGGUCGUAGGUUCAAAUCCUACUCCCGCUAC
rnacentral:tRNA from 1 species